rnacentral:rRNA from 1 species
UACGGAGGGUGCGAGCGUUGUCCGGAAUCAUUGGGCGUAAAGGGCGCGUAGGUGGCGCGGCAAGCGUGCGGUGAAAGCUCGGGGCUCAACCCCGAGUCGGCCGUGCGAACUGCUGUGCUUGAGCACUGUAGAGGCAGGCGGAAUUCCGGGUGUAGCGGUGGAAUGCGUAGAUAUCGGGAGGAACACCUGUGGCGAAAGCGGCGCACUGGACCACAACUGACGCUGAGGCGCGAAAGCUAGGGGAGCAAACAGG